AGUGAACGCUGGCGGUAGGCCUAACACAUGCAAGUCGAACGAGUGGCGGACGGGUGAGGAAUAUAUCGGAAUCUACUCUGUCGUGGGGGAUAACGUAUGGAAACUUACGCUAAUACCGCAUACGAUUGAAUGAGCCGAUGUCGGAUUAGCUCGUGGGUGGGGGAAAGGCCCACCAAGGCGCAGAUCCGUAGCUGGUCUGAGAGGAUGACCAGCCACACUGGAACUGAGACACGGUCCAGCCUCCUACGGGAGGCAGCAGUGGGGAAUAUUGGACAAUGGGCGCAAGCCUGAUCCAGCCAUACCGCGUGUGUGAAGAAGGCCUUCGGGUUGUAAAGCCCUUUUGUUGGGAAAGCGGUACCCAAAGAAUAAGCACCGGCUAACUUCGUGCCAGCAGCCGCGGUAAUAC
rnacentral:rRNA from 1 species